UUGGAGACGCCCAAUCUGUAGUUGUUGCUUGUCGUCUUGUGGCUUUGGAGAUUUUGGAUGUGCGCACAACAAUGAGAGUCUCCACGACGGUGCUAACAUCCAACAUUGCCACGUGCCAACUUCCCACUGUCCCAACCUUCCGGAAGUAGAAGGAAGAGGGAUUGGCAAAUCACGUGAUGUCGUCUGAACGUCGUCUCUACCUAACAUAAUUUACUUUGUCUUGUACAGUUAUCGGUCGACGAGUACGGCUGCUGUGAAGAAGAGAUCAAUGCAGCUGCUGCAGCGAUUGAAGUGUGUGCAUGAUGAACUGACUCACGAGCGACUACGUAGCGAUCUGUCAGCAAAACUUGUGGAUGAGUGUGGCACAGUGAGAACAUUGGCUGGAUCAGGAGACAAAGGACUAUUUACAAUUGAUGGGCAGGGAAUUAGAAGUGACACUAUAUAUAUAUAUA